rnacentral:sRNA from 1 species
GGGCAUGAGGGCAAUCUGUCACCCCACUGAUCCCCAGGGCUGAUUUAGCUGAUCUGCCUGACUAGGCCAGUGUCCCCUUCCUCUCUCACCACUCCAUGUGCUUCCCUCCCUAAGUCAAAAGAGGAUGACCUUCCAGGAAUAGAGGCGGACUAAUCUUAGGUCAAGGGUAAAGGAGCACUCCCCUGAUAGAACCUCCAAACAAGCUCUCAGAAUUCCUAAUUUCAAAUUAAACUUAUUCAUUUCAGUUACUAAAGGUCAAAAUAGACAUAUUUAAUGUCCAAAUGAAGCUAAACCUUCAGAAGACAGCUUAGAUAGUCAAUGAUAGUAAAAUGUGCUUCAUUUU